CACGGGGGGAGCAAGCGUUGUUCGGAAUCACUGGGCGUAAAGGGCGUGUAGGCGGCCUCAUAAGUCCGUUGUGAAAGUCAAAGGCUCAACCUUUGAAAGCCGAUGGAUACUGUGAGGCUAGAGUCCGGAAGAGGCGAGUGGAAUUCCUGGUGUAGCGGUGGAAUGCGCAGAUAUCAGGAGGAACACCAAUAGCGAAGGCAGCUCGCUGGGACGGUACUGACGCUAAGGCGCGAAAGCGUGGGGAGCGAACAGG
rnacentral:rRNA from 1 species